rnacentral:rRNA from 1 species
CCUACGGGUGGCAGCAGUGGGGAAUAUUGCACAAUGGGGGAAACCCUGAUCCAGCGACGCCGCGUGAGUGAAGAAGUAAUUCGUUAUGUAAAGCUCUAUCAGCAGGGGAGAAAAUGACGGUACCUGAGUAAGAAGCCCCGGCUAACUACGUGCCAGCAGCCGCGGUAAUACGUAGGGGGCAAGCGUUAUCCGGAUGUACUGGGUGUAAAGGGAGCGUAGACGGGAGUGCAGGUCUGGAGUGAAAGGCGGGGGCUCAACCCUCGGAGUGCUCUGGAAACUGUACGGCUGGAGUGCGGGCGAGGUAGGUGGAAUUCGUGGUGUAGCGGUGAAAUGCGUAGAUAUUAGGAGGAACACCAGUGGCGAAGGCGGCUUACUGGAGUGUAACUGACGUUGAGGCUCGAAAGCGUGGGGAGCGAACAGGAUUAGAUACCCUUGUAGUC